ensembl:lncRNA
CUAACACUGCGGUGGCUGUAAAAAAGCUGGAUAGCUUUGGCAGCUUUGAAAGCAAGUCCUGCCUUUGGUCUUUCUUCUUAUUUUUAUCUGACCCGCUUUCGUGAGAUCGCCUCAUGUUUCACUCGAUUUAUGUCUCACUCGAUUUCUCUCUCUCUCUACCGCUUACUGUUUUGAAUUUGACAUCAUUUCUGCAUACGCGAGAUGAGCGUGAUGCGCGUAACAUGGAAUAGUCCAUGUAGUGCGGACUGAAGGGGGGUGCACACGGAAAGAUCGUCAAAAUAUGAGUAAUUAGACAUCCCGAUGCUACUAUUGUGAAGAGAUUUUUAUAAAAAUAAUAAAUAUGGGGACAAAAUAUAUGCAUUGGGGCAUUUUGGGGGCCCCAAAAACCUUCUAUGGGGCCUGGGGCUCCAGGCAAAUGCCUGGUUUGCCUAAUAGUACGGCCCGCCCCUGCCAGGAACAAGUGACCAAUGAUAACUGUUAUUGAUGACAAAUUCAGCUUGGAAACCAAUGCAGAUGCUUCUACAGAAGCGUCAUUGAAUCAUUUGUAACUUUAUUCCAACCAGCAAGUAGGCGGGAGACUUUCAGAAAGUAAAAAACAGGGUUCUGUCACUCGAACCAGCUUUGCAACUGUGUGACAAAAACCAGCGUAGCUCGGGCGGGUGUGCGGCAUGAGUGGUUGAUGUUUUGGGAGUGUGUUGAUAGUUAGAAUCUUGUAGAUAAACAGAGGUACGUGCUUAAAGGGGACAUAUUAUAAAAACAACACUUUUCCUGGGAUUUGGGGUGUGUGUACAGGAUUUUUAGAGUGUGAUGCAUUUCUGAAAGUACCCGACCUACAGUUACCAAACGAGCUAGUCAGUUUCGGCGCACCCUCCUACAUAGGAAGGGGGCACAUUCGAAUAUUACCUACCACUUCCCUGCUCCCCUCCAAUCAGAGCAUAUCUUAGAUUUUGUGGAACAGCGGACGACUUCCCCAACCGGAGCUGCCGGACUUCCGCCGAAGCAUCGGCGGCAGUCCGGAGGAGGAGACAUGGAGGAGAAAAUGACCUAGGUACUCCCGGAGCUGAGCUGCCGGACUGCCGCGAAGCUACCCUUGCCAGACUUUUCAGCUCCCAGAUUACACCGCCGGAGCUGCAGGACUGCCGCCGCAGCUUUGGCGAAAAAGGCCUUAUUGAAAAGGCCCUUUUAGAAAACACUGUUGUUGCACUGUAUCAGAUCUCCUGUCGGUGCCUUUAUGUUUUGUAUUGUUGUUGUGCAAUUAAGUUUGGGACCCUGGCUACAAAACAAUUUCCCUUUUAGGGACAAUAAACUUGAACUUGAACGCGG